AUGCCUGGGAAAUUGCCCUGAUGUGGGGGAUAACCAUUGGAAACGAUGGCUAAUACCGCAUGAUGCCUACGGGCCAAAGAGGGGGACCUUCGGGCCUCUCGCGUCAGGAUAUGCCCAGGUGGGAUUAGCUAGUUGGUGAGGUAAGGGCUCACCAAGGCGACGAUCCCUAGCUGGUCUGAGAGGAUGAUCAGCCACACUGGAACUGAGACACGGUCCAGACUCCUACGGGAGGCAGCAGUGGGGAAUAUUGCACAAUGGGCGCAAGCCUGAUGCAGCCAUGCCGCGUGUGUGAAGAAGGCCUUCGGGUUGUAAAGCACUUUCAGUAGGGAGGAAGGUGGUAGUGUUAAUAGCGCUAUCAUUUGACGUUACCUACAGAAGAAGCACCGGCUAACUCCGUGCCAGCAGCCGCGGUAAUACGGAGGGUGCGAGCGUUAAUCGGAAUUACUGGGCGUAGAGCGCAUGCAGGUGGUUUGUUAAGUCAGAUGUGAAAGCCCCGGGCUCAACCUGGGAAUUGCAUUUGAGACUGGCAAACUAGAGUACUGUAGAGGGGGGUAGAAUUUCAGGUGUAGCGGUGAAAUGCGUAGAGAUCUGAAGGAAUACCGGUGGCGAAGGCGGCCCCCUGGACAGAUACUGACUCUCAGAUGCGAAAGCGUGGGGGAGCAAACAGGAUUAGAUACCCUGGUAGUCCACGCCGUAAACGAUGUC
rnacentral:rRNA from 1 species